CCUACGGGAGGCAGCAGUGGGGAAUCUUGCGCAAUGGGCGAAAGCCUGACGCAGCCAUGCCGCGUGAAUGAUGAAGGUCUUAGGAUUGUAAAAUUCUUUCACCGAGGACGAUAAUGACGGUACUCGGAGAAGAAGCCCCGGCUAACUUCGUGCCAGCAGCCGCGGUAAUACGAAGGGGGCUAGCGUUGCUCGGAAUUACUGGGCGUAAAGGGAGCGUAGGCGGAUAGUUUAGUCAGAGGUGAAAGCCCAGGGCUCAACCUUGGAAUUGCCUUUGAUACUGGCUAUCUUGAGUACGGAAGAGGUAUGUGGAACUCCGAGUGUAGAGGUGAAAUUCGUAGAUAUUCGGAAGAACACCAGUGGCGAAGGCGACAUACUGGUCCGUUACUGACGCUGAGGCUCGAAAGCGUGGGGAGCAAACAGGAUUAGAUACCCUGGUAGUCCACGCUGUAAACGAUGAGUGCUAGUUGUCGGCAUGCAUGCAUGUCGGUGACGCAGCUAACGCAUUAAGCACUCCGCCUGGGGAGUCGGUCGCAAGAUUAAAACUUAAGAAUUAGAGCGNGNGAGNGCGACGACGACGACGAGGAGGAGG
rnacentral:rRNA from 1 species